rnacentral:rRNA from 1 species
UACAGAGGGCUCAAGCGUUGUUCGGAUUCAUUGGGCGUAAAGGGCGCGUAGGCGGUAGCACAAGUCAGUUGUGAAAUCUCCGGGCUUAACUCGGAAAGGUCAACUGAUACUGUGCGACUAGAGUGCAGAAGGGGCAACUGGAAUUCUCGGUGUAGCGGUGAAAUGCGUAGAUAUCGAGAGGAACACCUGCGGCGAAGGCGGGUUGCUGGGCUGACACUGACGCUGAGGCGCGAAAGCCAGGGGAGCGAACGGG